GCCGACGUCCCAUCCUGUGCCUUUCCAUGGUGGGAGACCACCGCGGGAUGGACCUGUGCCCCUGACCAAGCCUGAAUUAUAAGAUAAUUCUUUUGCUUCUAAAGGCUUCUUUCUAAGGCAGAAGAGUAGACACAGGUUCUGAAGAUUCUGAUCCCAGAGUUCUGGCUUUCCCCUCCCUUUGUGGCCCCCAGUUCCACCAGCAAAGCAUGGGGUGCUUUCCGGCCACCCUGCAAGCUGGGCUCCCAGGUAAGUCAUCCACGACCUCUCGUCCAGGUUUGCUGGCUCAUGGAUUUUUCUCUACGCUGAUUUUAUCACUUCAUAUAAAAUUGGACCUUGGUUGUUUUUAGCCAAUGCAGUAGUAAUAUUUUUUUUAAAGUAGACUCAUGAGAGUGUUCCCCAGCUGGGGCAUGAGUAAUCCAUCCCUAAGCUGCUCCAAGUAACAAUCCUGUUAGUGGACCAGAAAGCUGCUUUCUCUCAGACCAUUGAUUUCAAAGCUGGAAAACAGCAGGCACUGUGUUGGGAGUAAGCAAUGUGGAGUCAUCUCUUCCCCCAGAGAAACGCUGACAAGUAUUAGCUCACAGACAUGUGUGCACAAAGAUGGAUGCUCACAGUUGUCCGUUGGAGCACUGUUUGAAGCAGCAAAAGGAACCAAUUCAACUUUCCCUGAGUAGGAAAAUGGCUAAAUAAAUGGUAACUUAUUCACAGAAGGGAAUAUAAUACAGCUGUUAAAAUCAUGAAAAAAGCAGGACCUUCAAGAGGUGAUUGGGUCAUGAGAGUUCUGCACUCGUGAAUGGAUUAAUGUCAACAUCAUCAAGAAGCCCCUUGCCAGAAGCAAGCCUCAUGACUUAGGACUUUCCAGCCUCCAGAAUUGUAAGAAAUAGAUUUCUGUACUUCAUAUAAAAAAGUAUGAUGUGAUUGAUGCUU
rnacentral:lncRNA from 1 species